GACGAACGCUGGCGGCGUGCUUAACACAUGCAAGUCGAACGAAGUGGCGAACGGGUGAGUAACGCGUAAUCAACUUGCCCUUCAGAGGGGGACAACAGGUGGAAACGACUGCUAAUACCGCAUACUGAAGGAGGGGAUGGCGUCUGAUUAGCUAGUUGGAGGGGUAACGGCCCACCAAGGCGAUGAUCAGUAGCCGGUCCGUGAGGAUGAACGGCCAACUUGGGACUGGGACACGGCCCCGACUCCUACGGGAGGCAGCAGGGGGGGAUCUUCCGCCAUGGGCGAAAGUCUGACGGAGCAACGCCGCGUGAGUGAUGACGGCCUUCGGGUUGUAAAGCUCUGUUAAUCGGGACGCGGUACCGGAAUAGAAAGCCACGGCUAACUACGUGCCAGCAGCCGCGGUAAUUC
rnacentral:rRNA from 1 species